ensembl:lncRNA
GGGGAUGGAGCGGUGCCGGGCUUUGUCCGCCGCUCGUGGCUAUGCUGUGUGCUCGGUUCCCGCUUGGUUCCGUGGCUCUUCGGGAUCAGUGGGGGACGAUGCCGGCCGCAUUUAGAUUCCUUGUGAGGUGCCCUGAGAUACCAUGUUGGAGAUGGCGGCUGUGCCCUGCUGCUCCGUUGUCUGCUUCCGUGCACAGCUUGUGACCAUCGUGUGCUGGGACACCUGUGCCAAAUUUUGAUGCCUCUUUACACAUCCUCCAAGUAGAGGAUGUAGGUGAUGGACAACCAACAGAUGGCACCAGGCCCUCCCAUACGCUCUAUGAAAAUGAUGAGAAUGACUUCCAAGGCUGUGAGUGGUGGCUGAUGAGAAGCUAAGAAGAGGAACCUCAAAGUUAAACUGAUUGGGUGGAGGAACAGACGACAACGCACCGAUUGGAGUGAUGGUGUCCUGCUCAGAAAUGGAUGUGCUGGAUGGCAGAAGAGGAUUCUUGGCCAAGUAUGGAAUCAUCUCUGUUCCUUCACGAAGCCUGGUUCAAAUGCAGUUCCUGACUUCUGCCAGCAGCACUCGCCGUUUAUCUUCCUCGCACCCAGAAACACACGACUUACAACAGAAAUCUCUCUGGAGUUGCAUUAGAGAUGGUGUGACAAACAAGAGGGACAGCACAAGGGCUGUAAAGGAGAAGCAUCCCGACCUUUGAUCCACCUCUGGUGUUUAAGAGCAAAACAUGAAGGGAAGGCAGGAGAUGUACAAUGUGUCCUUCUCCCAGCACAACCUCACCUGAUCCUUUAAAAUCAGAAAUGGAGAACUAGGAGUUUAUUUAUAUCUCUGAGGAUAUGGCAGUAGUCCUGAGAAGAAAGUCAACAAGUGGGUGAGCCUGAGCUACCCUCUGCAGCAAAUUUUUCCAGUCUCAGUGCAUCUCAGCUGGAUGCAAUGCUCUGUGUGCAAGAUCAUCAUUGGAGUGCUGACGUGCAUGUGUGAAUUUAAGUGCAAUUAUUUACUUGUGUUCACUUGUGGGAGUUGAUUGAAUGGCCUGAGGAAAGCAGAUGAAUAAUGUAAGGAAAUCUUUGCAGAAUCACGCAAAGUUCUAAAUGGUUUUCAGUGCAACAUGAAACAUCCCUUACUCUUCUCUUCUUCUGAAUCCUCAGUUUCAUAUGCUUUCGUUGAAUUAUUUUUCUCCUUUCUCAUCAUCAAGUAAUCAACACUAAAUUGUUUAAAGGUGCUAUUACUGAACUUUCUGCUCUCUUCCAUGAAUUAAAAUUUUAUUUUGUCAAGCGGUGCAAGAACUCAGAAAAUAAAAACUCAGAAA